UACGUAGGGGGCAAGCGUUGUCCGGAAUUAUUGGGCGUAAAGAGCGUGUAGGCGGCCCGGUAAGUCCGCUGUAAAAGUCCAGGGCUCAACCCUGGAAAGCCGGUGGAUACUGUCGGGCUAGAGUCCGGAAGAGGAGAGUGGAAUUCCUGGUGUAGCGGUGAAAUGCGCAGAUAUCAGGAAGAACACCCGUGGCGAAGGCGGCUCUCUGGGACGGUACUGACGCUAAGGCGCGAAAGCCAGGGGAGCAAACGGG
rnacentral:rRNA from 1 species